rnacentral:rRNA from 1 species
CCUACGGGAGGCAGCAGUGGGGAAUAUUGGACAAUGGGGGCAACCCUGAUCCAGCCAUGCCGCGUGUGUGAAGAAGGCCCUCGGGUUGUAAAGCACUUUCAGUGAGGAAGAACGCCUGGUGGUUAAUACCCAUCAAGAAAGACAUCACUCACAGAAGAAGCACCGGCUAACUCCGUGCCAGCAGCCGCGGUAAUACGGAGGGUGCGAGCGUUAAUCGGAAUUACUGGGCGUAAAGCGCGCGUAGGUGGCUUGAUAAGCCGGUUGUGAAAGCCCCGGGCUCAACCUGGGAACGGCAUCCGGAACUGUCAAGCUAGAGUGCAGGAGAGGAAGGUAGAAUUCCCGGUGUAGCGGUGAAAUGCGUAGAGAUCGGGAGGAAUACCAGUGGCGAAGGCGGCCUUCUGGACUGACACUGACACUGAGGUGCGAAAGCGUGGGUAGCAAACAGGAUUAGAUACCCUGGUAGUC